GAUGAAGAACGUAGCGAAAUGCGAUAAGUAAUGCGAAUUGCAGAAUUUCCGUGAGUCAUCGAAUCUUUGAACGCACAUUGCGCCCACUGGUAUUCCGGUGGGCAUGCCUGUUCGAGCGUCAUUAUCCUCCCUCAAACCCCGGGUUUGGUGUUGGACCCAAGUUGUGUGAACAACUGGUCUCAAAGACAAUGACGGCGUCCGUGGGACCCUCGGUGCAACGAGCUUUUAGGAGCACGCGCCGAGUUGCAAGGACCUUCCGGGCCGGUCUCCUUUACUAUUUUACAAGGUUGACCUCGGAUCAGGUAGGAAUACCCGCUGAACUUAAGCAUAUCAAUAGCGGAGG
rnacentral:misc_RNA from 1 species